UACGUAGGUGGCAAGCGUUGUCCGGAAUUAUUGGGCGUAAAGCGCGCGCAGGCGGUUCUUUAAGUCUGAUGUGAAAGCCCACGGCUCAACCGUGGAGGGUCAUUGGAAACUGGGGAACUUGAGUACAGAAGAGGAAAGCGGAAUUCCACGUGUAGCGGUGAAAUGCGUAGAGAUGUGGAGGAACACCAGUGGCGAAGGCGGUUUUCUGGUCUGUAACUGACGCUGAGGCGCGAAAGCGUGGGGAGCAAACAGG
rnacentral:rRNA from 1 species